rnacentral:piRNA from 1 species
UCAGACAAGGAGCUCUUAUGGAGG